rnacentral:rRNA from 1 species
UACGGAGGGGGCUAGCGUUAUUCGGAAUUACUGGGCGUGAAGCGCACGCAGGCGGAUCUGCAAGUCAGAGGUGAAAUCCCAGGGCUCAACCUUGGAACUGCCUUUGAAACUGUGGGUCUUGAGUUCGGGAGAGGUGAGUGGAAUUCCGAGUGUAGAGGUGAAAUUCGUAGAUAUUCGGAGGAACACCAGUGGCGAAGGCAGCUCACUGGCUCGAUACUGACGCUGAGGUGCGAAAGCGUGGGGAGCAAACAGG